rnacentral:rRNA from 1 species
GAUAAACGCUGGCGGCGUGCAUGAGACAUGCAAGUCAUACGGGCGAGCUUGCCCGCUAGUGGCGGACGGCUGAGUAACGCGUAGGUGACCUGCCCCGAAGUGGGGAAUAACUGCCCGAAAGGGUGGCUAAUACCGCAUGUGGUGGUUCGUUCAAUCGAACCAUCAAAGCAGCGAUGCGCUUCGAGAGGGGCCUGCGUCCGAUUAGCUCGUUGGUGGGGUAACGGCUCACCAAGGCGACGAUCGGUAGGUGGUCUGAGAGGACGAUCACCCAGACUUGGACUGAGACACGGCCCAGACUCCUACGGGAGGCAGCAGUCGGGAAUUUUGCGCAAUGGGCGAAAGCCUGACGCAGCAACGCCGCGUGAGGGAUGAAGGCCUUCGGGUUGUAAACCUCUUUUCCCAGGGAAGAUGAUGACGGUACCUGGGGAAUAAGUCACGGCUAACUACGUGCCAGCCGCCGCAGUAAUAC